UGUGUGCUGGGCGCAGGGAAGACACAGCGCCGCCGGCCGUGGGGAACGGACGCACUGAUUUGCUCCCUUACCCUCAGCAAUCCCCCCACCCAGCACCAGGAGCCUGUCCCUCCCACAUCCUCACCUGGCUGAGCCGCAGUAGUUCUUCAGUGGCAAGCUUUAUGUCCUGACCCAGCUAAAGCUGCCAGUUGAAGAACUGUUGCCCUCUGCCCCUGGCUUCAAGGAGGAGGAGGAAGAGGAGAAGGAGCUGCUUUCCCCUUCAUCUGGAAGGAUAACUUGUGAGACCCUGCUCCGGCUUGUGCAGGCGGACAGUUCUCUCCAGCAACGAGGAGAGGUGGGUUAUGGGAUGUGACCCCCUUUAGGGCAUCAAGCAGUAUAAACCUACCACCCCCCAGCUCCUGAGGCAGUGUAACUCUUGGGGCUCAGGCUCUGGUGUGGUUCAACCAUGGCCCAGUCUCCCUGCCUGAAGGUGGCCAAAUUCAGGAGCUGUAGGAAGCUGUCCUGUUGUGGAGCAGGAGGUGUGGAGAUGGCAGGGUCCUAGUCUCCAUUUAUGAGAAACAGAGAUUUAGGGGAGAGUAGAUCGUUGAACCCACCCUCCUGCAGCCUAAGCUGGAUGUGUCUGGGACUGCGGUGGAGGGGGUGGGUAGACUGAGUCAACUCAUAGUCUGCAACAAAGAUUGCUGUGUCCCUGGACAUUGCUUCCAUCCUUUCUUCCCCUCCCCGCUUCACUGGCCACAGUGUCUCCCUCCAGCCCCGGGUAUGUGGCUCUGCCAUCCUCACCCAUCAUGAAGUAAAGAUGAGGAAGAGCAGCCUGGGAACACAGAGGCAGGCAGAAGACCAGUGAAGGACCAGGCCUGGAGAGCACAGGGCCCUGUCUGGGCACCCCGCAGAGGGGACCCAUAAAGGGCAGGAGCACCCCAGGAGGAGGGAGGACAGCCAGCUCCCAGCCAUCUGCCUCAUUCACUAUUUCUCUCCAGUGUUACUUACUGCCUCCCUCAGAGAUACGAGACUGUAUUAAAGUGUCCUGUGGCUUCAUUCUCCCACCUCCCUACCCUGUAAUUUUUAUAUAAAGCAGCUUCAAGGAGCAAGAACCAGCUGUGAAAGGACAUACGCAGGAAAUUCAUAGAAGAAAUUCAAAUGGAUAAAACCAUGAAAAACAAAGUGUGUUUCAUUAGUAAUUAAAGACAAAUAUAGCUGAAAGCAUUUUUCCCUUAGCAAACUAUAUUUAAAAAAAAAAAAGAAAGACCCAGUAUUGGCAAAGAAAUACUAAAAUAACACUCCCAUACAUUGCAUAUGGGGGUGCAAAUUGAUACGGCCUUCCUGGAUGUCAGUUUGGUAAUGUGUCUCAAAUACCCUAAAAGUUUCCAUCGCCUUUGACCUAGUAAUUCUACAUUUGGGAAUUUAUCCUCAGAAAAUAAUUAAAGAUUUAGUCACAAGAUGCUCAUCCCAGUAUUGCAAUAGAGAAAAUGAGAAGCAACUGUCUGAUUGGGAAUUCAUUUCUUUUCUGCUGUAAUGAAAAUUUGCAGUGGGGGAUUGCUUAAGUAAAUCACUGUAUAUCCAUCCAGAUGGUGGAGUACUGCACAGCCAUUAAAAGUCAUGUAGAAGAACAUUUGACUGGAAAGAAAAAUGCUCUUUGAAUAUUAAGAAGGUUAUAAAAAUAGUGUAUUAUGUGAUCUCAAUUUUGUUUUUUAGAAAGAUGGGUAUAUUCUUGUAUACAUAAAACAGAUGAGAAAGACAAAAUGUUAAUAGUAGUUAUCUGUGGACAGUGGAACAAAGUCAUUGUAAUUUUCCUCUUUGGCCUUUCUGUAACUUUAAAAUUUUCUAUAUUGU